UAGUUUAUUCAGAACAUUGCUUGGCUAC
rnacentral:piRNA from 1 species